rnacentral:lncRNA from 1 species
CUUUACAACACCGCACUUUAUGAAUCUCUGAUGAAACUUUUGUGCAUGGCUAUGGACAGAUACUGAGCAUGCAAAACCAGUGGAACGCGUACAGGGAAGAGGAUGGAUGUGGAAAGAGCAGUCCGAGGUGUAAAGUAUUUUCGAUGAGGAGCUCAUCGAUGGCGUUCUUCGGUGGCGGCAAGGAUAAGGCGGAGGUGUUCAUGGGGUCAGCAUCAGGACGAGGUAGACAACAAAGGGGGACGACGCCGGAUUUCAGGAUUGAGGGUUCUUUCAGGAAUCGAAACUGCAAGAUAAGUAAUGCGGAAGGACAAGUCGUGGCCAAGAUUGCGAGGAAGAGAGUCAUGAACUCUACCGUAAUGCUAAGCGACGACGUUUUUAGCUUAGUUAUACAACCUGGUUAUAGCAGUGAGCUUAUUAUGGCUUUUGUAAUUGUACUGGAUCGCAUCUCCACCAAGCCGUAUACUCCUGCUUUGUGUUCUUGAUGACUUUGUACUUUUUUCUUCUUUUUGUGUACACAAAAAGCCCACGUAAAUAAUUCAUACAAGUUUUGGAUUUUGCUUCCUUGGCCGUGGCCAAUGGGAAGAAGAGAUAGCUGGACAGGAGUCAUCAAAAGAUUUUGUUCACAAGCAUGCAAUAUUGCGCUUGAAUUGAUGACACGAUUGUUCAUCUUGUAAAAUAAAUAAAGAAAUCAUAUAUUUAAAUUCGAUCAGUAGUCCGGAAUCAAGGGAAGAAAUCAUCUGAAUUAAAAAAUGACAGAUUUUCCGUUAUUAUUUUAAAUUUUUGCAUUGCAAUAAUUUUCCUAAUUUCCAAGCUAAUUAAGGGAGUCAAAAUUCGAUUGGCUGAAUAUAGGUGGAGGAAAGAUUAGUUUUGUUCAUAUAUAUGUAUAUCCAGGAAUAAUAAUAUCAGAAUUUUUAAAAUAUUUGCCUUUCCAUUGCUUGUGCUUCUAUUCAUUAGUGUUAAAUUGUGGAAUUGACAAAAGACAUCUACGCAUUAAGAAUGUGGUCUAGCUACUAAUAUUUCUUUAGCGGCUGGUUAGAAGAUGAAGUGUUAAGAUAGUCGUAUACAAGUCUAUCGCACAGUCAAUGUCCUUCGUCACAGAGGAUGAACAGUAGGUUGGCGAAUCAGAUGGAAAAGCCCAUGUGUUUUUUUUUUUAGAUAAUUCCUUUAUCUGAAUCCUAAACAAAAGUGCUCUUCUCAAUCUCAGCUGAAGAGGAAAUGAGAUCAAAUUGCCAGAUAAAUGCUAAAUCUGUCGUGUUGAAAACGUUAUGUGUCAUUACAUGAAUGCUUGCCAACAAGCAUAUAACCGGCUCAACUCAACUCUAUCCUAAACUUUUAAUUAUCACCUUGGAACAAAAUUCCAAGAAUCCGGCUCUACAAAAUACAAGUACAGAAUCGCAUUGUAAGACUAACUCAGCAAUUGUAUGAUCUUGAGACUGUUCGUUGCACAAACGCCAACCCUAUUCAGUUAUCCAUAUUGCCAAUACAACAAAAAUCCGUUCUACUUGCAAGUGAUAACUACAGAAAGAAUGAGUAUGCACCCAAUGACCGGCCACGUAUGUGCACCAGAUGAUAUAUCAUCAGUCAAUCACCAGACACAAAAGUCUUGCCCUCAUAGUACCUUUUCUCGCUUGCAUUCUUUUUCUCAUUUCGUUUCUGCAGAAGAAAGAAACACAUUUUCAUUUCUCCGUGGAUUAAACAGAAAAAAACACCAACACAGCAAACAAACAAACAUUAAGCAUUUAAUGGUCAUAGCACCAAACUGCUCAAUGGACGCGUUAGAACAAGCCCAUAACUCCCAUACUAUAAUUUCGAGAAGACAAACCUAUUACGCAUACAACAGCUUUAAACAGGUUGAUUCUCCCAUCUUCAUACAUAUGUUACACUGACUUGCCAACUACUAGAACAACCAUCACAUGCUCCCCAAGGUCGGAAGAGCAGUGAAUAGGUCUUUUUUCAGGCACAUAUUAAAAGGCAAGUUUUGCAGAGGGAACUCUUUUCUUUCAGCCAAUAGUCAAGUGGCUUCUUUCUUAAAACAUGUGGUAAAAACAUGCUAAGUUGAUCAAGAGCAUCAAAUAACAAGGUUUUUGAAGGUAGGUGAACCUGAUAUGCCUCAUGAUUUGAUACAAUCCUCCUAAUUAUCGUGGCAGUAGUAAUAUCGAGUGGACUUUCCAGAACUUUGAAGAUACCCACGCUAAUUGGAAUAGCGUAUGGAUUGCCAUCAUCCUAUAUAACAAAAAUAAUCUGUCAGCGAAAAGGUGUAUCUUGGCACCACAAUAAUCAGUGGUCAACUCUUUGUAACCACAUGCAACUAGAAACUUCUACAAAAUUUACCUUCUGAAAAUCAUCGUUCUCAGCUACAGUUCCGUGGACAACUAAUGAUAUGUUGAAUGUUGUAAUCUGCAGCCCAAAAAAAAUUUAAAAAAAAAAAUCAAGUUAUAUCAUUAAUAAAGACCCAUGUCAUGACUUUGACCAGGCAUACUUGAACCAAAGAAGAAGGAAAAUUCUAAGACAUAAUCUAAUUCGAAAAAUGAGCUAGGAAAGUCCACAAGAGUCAAGAUCCUAGAAUUCAACUGAAUAGUCAAUUCUUUGCUUCUUUCCUUCAAGAUAUCUAAUAUUCUUCUCUCCGAGCCUACAGCGAAAAACAUGUUGUUGGAAAAAUUUGUUCUUUAAAAGUAUACGUGUUUAUUUAAUUGUAAUAAAUAAUUUUUUUGAUUAAUAAAAUAAAUAAGAAUUUUCUUUAAAUAUCUUAAUUGCAUUAAUAUUUUGAGUAAAAUCAAUUUAAUCAUAUUAUAUGUAUUUAUGUGAUCAAUAUGUGGAUUCACAAAAGACAUAAAUACAAGUUAUAUUAUGAUUAAAUAAAUUAAGUUUUGCAGUUGAUAAAUAAAGUACUCAAGUUUUGCAGUUGAUAAAUAAAGUUGAGUACUUUAUAUAGGUAUAGACUGUAAUAAAUUCAUUGAAUGAUUUGUCUUAAUCAUGUAUGAAUUUAUUGAUGUAGUCGUUGAGCACUUUAUUUAGGUAUAGUCUGUAAUAAAUUCAUUAAAUGAUUUGUCUUAAUCAUGUAUGAAUUUAUUGAUGUAGUACAACUAUAUUGAACAGGAUCACAAAUGAGAUUUAAUUAACUUUGUAAUAACUGUCAGACUUAUUAAAUCUCAUAGGCAUUGAUUUUACUAUACUCUUAAUCUUGAGUUAGAUAUAAUUUCAUGAUUGUAAUUGUUAUUCCAUUUGAGUUACCAAUGGGCACGACACACACUUGUAGUCAAGAUUACUCGGUAUCUUGGUGGGAGCAAUUAUGAAUAUUGGAAUUAUAGAUUAGCAAUAUAGAAUUUGUACAACACAUCUCUUGAUGAGUUUUCGGCACUUGAUCAUAAAAUUCUUUGGCCAGAGUUUGUCAACAUAUUUAAUAUGUUGAAAAUGAUAAUUAGAGAAAACCAAUAAGUAUUAAGGAACAAGAUGUAAUUAAAUUAAUUGAACAAUUAAGAUAUCAAUUUAAUUAACGAUGUGGUACAAAUGAUUGUACAGUAAAGAAAUCAAUGUGGCAUGGGUCAAAUUAUUAUUCGAGAACACUAUCCUGAAUAACAUAUAAUUAUGUAGGUCAAUUCAAAUCUUUUAGAGGAGUAGAUUUUGAAUUAAAUAAUUGGGCUAGUUUAAUUAUCGGCAUAAUUAUUGUACCCACUAUUGUAUGUACUCAAAUGAUCUCCGGGUUAACUCAUUUAAUUGACUGCGUCGCUACUGGAUUAAUAAGUAAGAUAACUAGUUGUUUGGGUUAAAGCCUAAAUAUAUUAUUUAGUGGGAGACUCCAUAAAAUAUGCUUGUGUGUAAGAGUCUUAUGUUAUUUUACAAGGUGGACCCUUAUAACAAGAAGAAGUAACGUUAUUUAUGGUUUUAUUAUUAUUUUUAAUUUAAAUCAAAUAUGAUUUAAUAGAAUUAAUAAAUUAAUAAAUAUGAAGCCUAGGGUUUCCAUCAAAUAGAGAUAUAAAAAGGAUUAUUUUCUCAACAAGAAAAGGUGAAGCCACAUUAUACAGAUUAGAAAAAUAAAAGAUUUUUCUCUAAUUUUGAGAGAAAUAUUUUCUCCUACUAGUUACUUUUUAGUGGUGAUAAAGGCGCCUACACGUCAAGUGCAGAUCAAACGUGAGUCAUAACUUGGAAGAUCAUUGGUGACAGAUCGUGAUCUAACCGGAGUAGUGGUGACAGAUCGUGAUCUAACAGUCUAGAUUACUUUAGCGAAAAAAGUAAAGUCGAAUUGUCAAUGUAUGAUUUUUUAGAUUUUGAAUUCUUAUGUAUUGUAUGAGAUCGAUCCUAAAAGUUUUUAUAAAAAUUAAAAAACUGAUUUUUCUCCCACACGUGCAAUGUGUAUAUACAAACUCUCUUGACCAUUUGAAGCUAAGGGGAAAAAAAAAAGAGAGAUCAAGUAAUUUUAAUUUUUAGAAAAAAAGAGUUCCCACAAGAUGGAUGUGGGAAUAACCGUCCCACACAAAGAAAAAGACCCCGGUGGGGAUGCCAUCUAGCACAACCACAUCACUGACAGCUAGCUAGUGCUUCCUAAAAAUUAUUAGUAGCAUCCACCAUUUCUAACUUCCAAACAUGCAUCACUCAGAGAAACUCAGACUCCAGCACCGAUUCCUUCAUGGCCAAUGCAUCUUGCACUCUUAUGCAAAGCUAACACAAGUAUUUUAGAUAACCCAGAAAUGAGUAAACUAGAUAUCACCAGAUGUAUAUAUAUUAACUAAUAAUUUCCAGGCGUAACUACACUAGUACUAUUAAUAAUAUCUUUCUGAUUUUUGAUUUCUCUGAAUCAAUCAUCCAAUUUUAAUCAAUAGUCAAGAGCUAUGAAUCAACGUUUGAGAAAACAUCUUUACUGAUGAUUUAAAUCAACAUAUAGCCUGACAAUUUAAAUAUCAACAUAAAGCCUAAUAACUAGCUUACAACGAGUAACACAAAAUGAAAGAUACUUGGAAGACACAAGGAAAAUAACAAGAGUUAACAGAGAAACUAACCAUGUUUUUAGAAACUUCCCAGGGAGCACCAAUUAUAACCUCAUCAACGUAGCGACAAGCUAAAACACUUAAACUUCUUUCGUGAAGAUUCAUGAUAGGGCGAUGAGCUCCUCUUUUAGCACUGCAGAGCCAUGUGAUUAAGUUUCCAUAACACAUGAUAAAGGUCAGAAACUUCGCUCAAUUUUCUUAGUAUAAAAAACGACUAUAGAAUCAGGGCAAAGUCUAACAAAAUGAAGGAUAUAGAAGGAUUUUUAAACCUGACUGUUUGAUCAUUGUGUAUCCCAACAAGAAGAAAAUCUCCAAGCCCCCGAGCAAUCCUCAAAAUAUACAACACAAGAUAAUUGGCAAGAAAUACAAAAAUAAGUGUAAAAUAACAGAGAUAAAGAUAAAUUUAAAAAGAAAAAGACAUGAUACAACUUAACCCAUAAUAAAAUAUGCAGUUAUGACACCAUCAAUUCUGAUAAGGAACGUUUGGAUUAAUUAAUUCCGCAUAUGCAUACACACUGGUCAAUAUUUUCUAACCAUCUACCCCACAUGUUUUUAGUUGAUUAAACUAGGAAUUUUUCACAUUCCUUUUUACGAUAUGCAGUUCGUUUUGACUAUAUAAAUUAAUAUAUUUAUGACAUUAAUUAUUAUUUGAUUUUUAUUACCGUUUAUUUAAUCAAUAGAUUAUUUAGAAUACAACGAUCGAUCGACCUAAUGAUGAUGACGCUAGGGCCACUUACCUCCAUAAACUUUCCCCUUCUAAAUAAAAUUAAUUAACACACACACACACACACACAAAAUCCCAUAUGGACUACAAAGUAAUCGAAUUUUCUAUUCCCAAACAUAUUCUAGUGACCCUCUAAUCCUAAUCCUAAUCCUAAUCCUAAUCCAGGUUAAAUUUUGUUUUUAUUCAUGGUGGAUGGUUACCAAAUACCACCUGCAAUUAAAAUGCACGCGUCUUAUACUGGAUGUGAGUUUCCUUUUAAAGUGACAUUUUAUAACUUUUUUUUUCUUAUUUUAUAUGAAGAUUUUUCUAUGAUUUUGUAUGAAAUUUUACAACCCUGAAAAUAAUAAUCUUGUGAACCCUUGGAUUUAAGUCACCAUUGGUUUAAUUUAGUAUUAUAUAUAACUAACUACUUAAUAAUAAUUACUAUGUAAUAUUGAAGUUGCUGAGUUAUUUGCAGGUUCAUAGAUAUAAUUUUAUUUUUAAGUAAUUAAAAAAUGUUUUCUAAAUCACUAAAAAAUAAAACAUUAAAUAAGCUUACACACACGCAUGUUAAUGUGUACAUGAUAAAUAUGAAUUAGAAAAUCUUCAACAACACAUGCAUGUUGAUAGAAUAGUGAUCCCUUUUAUCAUGUAUAAUUGUAACAGUAUAAUUUUAAAUACUUGAUUUUACUCAUUGGCAUUACCCCAAUCUUUACUAAUCUAGCAAGUCUUUGUGAAGAAGCGAGACAAGAUGAAAAAUAUAGAAGUUUAGAUAAACUAUAUUUGUUCGUUGUUAUUAUUUAACCUUAAAUAAAAACUUUUUUGGAUAUCAUUUUGAUUAAAUUUUUAAUUAUUAAAAUUAAAAUAUCAUCCUAACUAAAUUCCAAUUUUAUCAAUCAUUGAUCAAAUCUAAUUGUAUAUAUUUAUAUCGCAAGUGAUACAGUAAUUUUUAUAACUGCUAUACAGGGAUGACAAUCAGCAUCGUCCGCAACGAGUUUACUGUUACCAAACCCACACCCGCACCCGUUGUGGGUUUUAAUUUUUUAGAAAAAUCAACUUGCUACGGGUUUUGAUAAUUACCAAACCUGCAAUGGUACCCAGCGGAUUCUCACAUUUAAAAUCACAAAUGUACAAUAUGUAAAUUUUAUAUUAAUAACCUGAAAUUCCACAAUUCUAAAUUUAAUCAAUGUAAAUAGAAAAUUAAAAUUUCAACAUUAAUUCAACAUAAACUCUCAAAUUUAAGUAUGAAAUAUAUAAAUCCAUUAAAAAAAACCACAAAUGUAAUGAAAAAUUCAUGGGUUUGCGGCUGCGGAUCACGGGUGAAAGGGAAAUGGGUGUGCGGCUGUUGCUCACAGGUGAAAGGGAAAUAGUUUGGAAGGCUAGGCUUUGCGGCUGCCGCUUAUAAGUGAAAAUGAAAUAGUUUGGGUUUCCUUUAGGUUGGGUUAUGAGUUACAACUUACACACACCACACAUGACAUGUUUACACUUUACAUUUAUUUAAUUUAUAUAUUUUUAGAUUUAAUUAUUUUUUUAUUUAAAAUUACAUUGAAAAUAUUUGAGAAAAAAAAACUGCGGGUUUGGCGGAUAUCCCUGCGGCUAUCCAUCGGAUAUUUAGCUAAUACCAAACUCAGCCGCAACGUAAUGUGGGGUUCAAUUUUUAAUACUAAACUCGCCCACAACCUAUAAAAUUACCCACAACGGGCGAAUUUUGACAGGUGAAUUUAGACAAAUUUACGGGUGCCAUUGCCAUCCCUACUGUAGUAUUAAAAAAUGACCCCUUAUAUAUAGAAAUAUAUCCUAGUACGGGCUACAGACAGUGACCUAAUUAGAGGAGUGCUUAUAUUUUAAUUUCAUGGAGAAAAUGAUACCACGUAGAUUAACCAAAUCAAAUAAAAUUCAACUCGGUGGUUAGACGAGUUAGUGCUUUGAUGACUCAAAACCGAGGGCACUAAGCCAAGUUGGACGAUUAAUUAACAAUUAAAUCAAUAUUUUAGAGGCACUAAUACUCGUUUCCACAUGGUUAAUGUUGGAAAAAAAGACCUUGGGUGUGAUUGACCAUCUGUCAUUCAAACCCUUAUCUCGCUUGUUUUCAUUCAUAAGAUUUCACGUAGAGGAAUCAAACAUGACUACAACUGUUAUCGCCUUCAUGCUUAUGGAGGGUAUCAUUGAAUUCUUCGAGUAGCGACAAGCAGCUAAAAAACAACCGAUUAAUAAGCUUUUACGCAUUCAACUAAAAAGCCCACAUGAAAAUAUUAGGCACAUAGUGGGUACUAGGUCUCCCGCCGCUAGCUUUGAAUUAAAUUCCCCUUUUGCGAGCAAGUUGAGAGCUAAAUUUUCAUCGUCACGACAAAUUAUUGGUCACAUGAAUGCAAGGUCUAAGAAGCUUCUAUUGACCAUAAAAUCUUCUCACAAUUUAUUAAUUAAGAAAAUAACUGCAGUACUAUAUUGUUUGGUACAACAUUUUUAUUCUCUCUCUUCUACUUCUCUUGAAGAAAUUAAAAUUUUAAAUUUUAAAAAGAAUCCCCAAACUUAAAAUAUAUUAUGUAUAAUAUCAAUGGGGGUUUCAAAAAUGUGUAUAAAUUGGAUUGUAUAAAAAAAAAUAGAGAUUUUAGUGCGGUAUAGAAUUUUAAAAACUGGAUAUAAGAAUUUACUCCUAAAAUAAAUUUUUAUGAAUAGAAUUCACAUAAGUAAUUUGAGUUUAAUAGAUAUAAAGACUGAUUAAAUCUCAACCAUUCAAUAUUAGUAUUAAUAGCACUUAAUCAUAAGAAGAUACUAAUUCUUUGAAUUCAUCUAUCUAUUUAUUAGAGGAUUACACAUUACUCGCAAGAGUACUAAGCAAGAUUCGGUGGGUAAAGAAAAAUAAAAACCAUUUGGCAAUUUGAAAUAUAUAUAUAGCAUAUAUAAGACAUAAAGGUCCUGGCCUACUGCCCUAUGCAUGUAGGUCGUGAAUCUUGUGACUUUAGAAGUCUACUUAUGAUGUUUGGUAGUGGCUACACACGGGGGGAAUAAACGAAAAUGAUGAUUUUCCUUUUCCUUAAUUCCUAGACCGCCAACUUUUUUGCGUGCCCCCAACACAACUUAUAUAAACUAAAAUCAUGUGUACGCAUAACAAGCAAAAGCAGGAGCAGCAUAAAAACUAGAUAACAACCCACUUCGCAAAAAGGAGGCGCGUCCCAUUAAUAAUCAAAUUAAUUGUACAUAUAUUAAGAUAAUUAUAACUCAUUUAUGUCGGUAUCUUAAAUACCAAUUCAUGGAUUGGUGGUGAUGAAUAAUUUAAAGAAAAAAUUAAACCAGGUCACUGAUAGCUGCAUAAAGCUGGGGGCCUGGGGAAUUAAUUGUGUAAGCCACCAACGGAGACAUAACAUCCGAGACAAAGGAACUCUCGUUCCACGCACGUCUCUCUCUUUCUCUAUAUAUAUAUACAUGUAAAUAAGAUUAAAGUACUUGCUAUAGCUAUCUUAAUUUGGCUUUCAAGUCAUUAUUGGAGAUCAAUAUUCAUUCAAGAUUUAACGGCACAAGGCAACCAUGUCCAAAAUUUAUCCCAGUGAGAACAAACGCAAUGAAUUGAAACCGAAAGGAGAUGAUGAUUGCCGUUUACGCCCGAGCAUGCUCACUGUGUGGAAGAGAUCAAGCAUGAGCUUCCAAGGCACUGAUGGGUUCACAGUGUUUGAUCAGCAAGGGAGAUUAGUUUUCCGUGUUGAUAAUUACUCGCGGAAUCAUCCUUGUGUUGCUGCUUCCGGUCUAGUGCUCAUGGACGGAGCUGGCAAUGCUCUGCUUUCUUUAAAACCCCAGGUAUAUAUACGUGUGUGUGUGUGUGUGUGUGUGUGUGUGUGUGUUGUGCAAAGGCUUUACAACACCGCACUUUAUGAAUCUCUGAUGAAACUUUUGUGCAUGGCUAUGGACAGAUACUGAGCAUGCAAAACCAGUGGAACGCGUACAGGGAAGAGGAUGGAUGUGGAAAGAGCAGUCCGAGGUGUAAAGUAUUUUCGAUGAGGAGCUCAUCGAUGGCGUUCUUCGGUGGCGGCAAGGAUAAGGCGGAGGUGUUCAUGGGGUCAGCAUCAGGACGAGGUAGACAACAAAGGGGGACGACGCCGGAUUUCAGGAUUGAGGGUUCUUUCAGGAAUCGAAACUGCAAGAUAAGUAAUGCGGAAGGACAAGUCGUGGCCAAGAUUGCGAGGAAGAGAGUCAUGAACUCUACCGUAAUGCUAAGCGACGACGUUUUUAGCUUAGUUAUACAACCUGGUUAUAGCAGUGAGCUUAUUAUGGCUUUUGUAAUUGUACUGGAUCGCAUCUCCACCAAGCCGUAUACUCCUGCUUUGUGUUCUUGAUGACUUUGUACUUUUUUCUUCUUUUUGUGUACACAAAAAGCCCACGUAAAUAAUUCAUACAAGUUUUGGAUUUUGCUUCCUUGGCCGUGGCCAAUGGGAAGAAGAGAUAGCUGGACAGGAGUCAUCAAAAGAUUUUGUUCACAAGCAUGCAAUAUUGCGCUUGAAUUGAUGACACGAUUGUUCAUCUUGUAAAAUAAAUAAAGAAAUCAUAUAUUUAAAUUCGAUCAGUAGUCCGGAAUCAAGGGAAGAAAUCAUCUGAAUUAAAAAAUGACAGAUUUUCCGUUAUUAUUUUAAAUUUUUGCAUUGCAAUAAUUUUCCUAAUUUCCAAGCUAAUUAAGGGAGUCAAAAUUCGAUUGGCUGAAUAUAGGUGGAGGAAAGAUUAGUUUUGUUCAUAUAUAUGUAUAUCCAGGAAUAAUAAUAUCAGAAUUUUUAAAAUAUUUGCCUUUCCAUUGCUUGUGCUUCUAUUCAUUAGUGUUAAAUUGUGGAAUUGACAAAAGACAUCUACGCAUUAAGAAUGUGGUCUAGCUACUAAUAUUUCUUUAGCGGCUGGUUAGAAGAUGAAGUGUUAAGAUAGUCGUAUACAAGUCUAUCGCACAGUCAAUGUCCUUCGUCACAGAGGAUGAACAGUAGGUUGGCGAAUCAGAUGGAAAAGCCCAUGUGUUUUUUUUUUUAGAUAAUUCCUUUAUCUGAAUCCUAAACAAAAGUGCUCUUCUCAAUCUCAGCUGAAGAGGAAAUGAGAUCAAAUUGCCAGAUAAAUGCUAAAUCUGUCGUGUUGAAAACGUUAUGUGUCAUUACAUGAAUGCUUGCCAACAAGCAUAUAACCGGCUCAACUCAACUCUAUCCUAAACUUUUAAUUAUCACCUUGGAACAAAAUUCCAAGAAUCCGGCUCUACAAAAUACAAGUACAGAAUCGCAUUGUAAGACUAACUCAGCAAUUGUAUGAUCUUGAGACUGUUCGUUGCACAAACGCCAACCCUAUUCAGUUAUCCAUAUUGCCAAUACAACAAAAAUCCGUUCUACUUGCAAGUGAUAACUACAGAAAGAAUGAGUAUGCACCCAAUGACCGGCCACGUAUGUGCACCAGAUGAUAUAUCAUCAGUCAAUCACCAGACACAAAAGUCUUGCCCUCAUAGUACCUUUUCUCGCUUGCAUUCUUUUUCUCAUUUCGUUUCUGCAGAAGAAAGAAACACAUUUUCAUUUCUCCGUGGAUUAAACAGAAAAAAACACCAACACAGCAAACAAACAAACAUUAAGCAUUUAAUGGUCAUAGCACCAAACUGCUCAAUGGACGCGUUAGAACAAGCCCAUAACUCCCAUACUAUAAUUUCGAGAAGACAAACCUAUUACGCAUACAACAGCUUUAAACAGGUUGAUUCUCCCAUCUUCAUACAUAUGUUACACUGACUUGCCAACUACUAGAACAACCAUCACAUGCUCCCCAAGGUCGGAAGAGCAGUGAAUAGGUCUUUUUUCAGGCACAUAUUAAAAGGCAAGUUUUGCAGAGGGAACUCUUUUCUUUCAGCCAAUAGUCAAGUGGCUUCUUUCUUAAAACAUGUGGUAAAAACAUGCUAAGUUGAUCAAGAGCAUCAAAUAACAAGGUUUUUGAAGGUAGGUGAACCUGAUAUGCCUCAUGAUUUGAUACAAUCCUCCUAAUUAUCGUGGCAGUAGUAAUAUCGAGUGGACUUUCCAGAACUUUGAAGAUACCCACGCUAAUUGGAAUAGCGUAUGGAUUGCCAUCAUCCUAUAUAACAAAAAUAAUCUGUCAGCGAAAAGGUGUAUCUUGGCACCACAAUAAUCAGUGGUCAACUCUUUGUAACCACAUGCAACUAGAAACUUCUACAAAAUUUACCUUCUGAAAAUCAUCGUUCUCAGCUACAGUUCCGUGGACAACUAAUGAUAUGUUGAAUGUUGUAAUCUGCAGCCCAAAAAAAAUUUAAAAAAAAAAAUCAAGUUAUAUCAUUAAUAAAGACCCAUGUCAUGACUUUGACCAGGCAUACUUGAACCAAAGAAGAAGGAAAAUUCUAAGACAUAAUCUAAUUCGAAAAAUGAGCUAGGAAAGUCCACAAGAGUCAAGAUCCUAGAAUUCAACUGAAUAGUCAAUUCUUUGCUUCUUUCCUUCAAGAUAUCUAAUAUUCUUCUCUCCGAGCCUACAGCGAAAAACAUGUUGUUGGAAAAAUUUGUUCUUUAAAAGUAUACGUGUUUAUUUAAUUGUAAUAAAUAAUUUUUUUGAUUAAUAAAAUAAAUAAGAAUUUUCUUUAAAUAUCUUAAUUGCAUUAAUAUUUUGAGUAAAAUCAAUUUAAUCAUAUUAUAUGUAUUUAUGUGAUCAAUAUGUGGAUUCACAAAAGACAUAAAUACAAGUUAUAUUAUGAUUAAAUAAAUUAAGUUUUGCAGUUGAUAAAUAAAGUACUCAAGUUUUGCAGUUGAUAAAUAAAGUUGAGUACUUUAUAUAGGUAUAGACUGUAAUAAAUUCAUUGAAUGAUUUGUCUUAAUCAUGUAUGAAUUUAUUGAUGUAGUCGUUGAGCACUUUAUUUAGGUAUAGUCUGUAAUAAAUUCAUUAAAUGAUUUGUCUUAAUCAUGUAUGAAUUUAUUGAUGUAGUACAACUAUAUUGAACAGGAUCACAAAUGAGAUUUAAUUAACUUUGUAAUAACUGUCAGACUUAUUAAAUCUCAUAGGCAUUGAUUUUACUAUACUCUUAAUCUUGAGUUAGAUAUAAUUUCAUGAUUGUAAUUGUUAUUCCAUUUGAGUUACCAAUGGGCACGACACACACUUGUAGUCAAGAUUACUCGGUAUCUUGGUGGGAGCAAUUAUGAAUAUUGGAAUUAUAGAUUAGCAAUAUAGAAUUUGUACAACACAUCUCUUGAUGAGUUUUCGGCACUUGAUCAUAAAAUUCUUUGGCCAGAGUUUGUCAACAUAUUUAAUAUGUUGAAAAUGAUAAUUAGAGAAAACCAAUAAGUAUUAAGGAACAAGAUGUAAUUAAAUUAAUUGAACAAUUAAGAUAUCAAUUUAAUUAACGAUGUGGUACAAAUGAUUGUACAGUAAAGAAAUCAAUGUGGCAUGGGUCAAAUUAUUAUUCGAGAACACUAUCCUGAAUAACAUACAAUUAUGAAGGUCAAUUCAAAUCUUUUAGAGGAGUAGAUUUUGAAUUAAAUAAUUGGGUUAGUUUAAUUAUCGGCAUAAUUAUUGUACCCACUAUUGUAUGUACUCAAAUGAUCUCCGGGUUAACUCAUUUAAUUGACUGCGUCGCUACUGGAUUAAUAAGUAAGAUAACUAGUUGUUUGGGUUAAAGCCUAAAUAUAUUAUUUAGUGGGAGACUCCAUAAAAUAUGCUUGUGUGUAAGGGUCUUAUGUUAUUUUACAAGGUGGACCCUUAUAACAAGAAGAAGUAACGUUAUUUAUGGUUUUAUUAUUUUUUUAAUUUAAAUCAAAUGUGAUUUAAUAGAAUUAAUAAAUUAAUAAAUAUGAAGCCUAAGGUUUCCAUCAAAUAGAGAUAUAAAAAUGCUUAUUUUCUCAACAAGAAAAGGUGAAGCCACAUUAUACAGAUUAUAAAAAAAAAAAAGAUUUUUCUCUAAUUUUGAGAGAAAUAUUUUCUCCUACUAGUUACUUUUUAGUGGUGAUAAAAGCGCCCACACGUCAAGUGCAGAUCAAACGUGAGUCAUAACUUGGAAAAUCAUUGGUGACAGAUCGUGAUCUAACCGGAGUAGUGGUGACAGAUCGUGAUCUAACGGUCUAGAUUACUUUAGCUAAAAAAGUAAAGUUGAAUUGUCAAUGUAUGAUUUUUUAGAUUUUGAAUUCUUAUGUAUUGUAUGAGAUCGAUCUUAAAAGUUUUUAUAAAAAUUAAAAAACUGAUUUUUCUCCCACACGUGCAAUGUGUAUAUACAAACUCUCUUGACCAUUUGAAGCUAAGGGGAAAAAAAAAAAGAGAGAUCAAGUAAUUUUAAUUUUUAGAAAAAAAGAGUUCCCACAAGAUGGAUGUGGGAAUAACCGUCCCACACAAAGAAAAAGACCCCGGUGGGAUGCCAUCUAGCACAACCACAUCACUGACAGCUAGCUAGUGCUUCCUAAAAAUUAUUAGUAGCAUCCACCAUUUCUAACUUCCAAACAUGCAUCACUCAGAGAAACUCAGACUCCAGCACCGAUUCCUUCAUGGCCAAUGCAUCUUGCACUCUUAUGCAAAGCUAACACAAGUAUUUUAGAUAACCCAGAAAUGAGUAAACUAGAUAUCACCAGAUGUAUAUAUAUUAACUAAUAAUUUCCAGGCGUAACUACACUAGUACUAUUAAUAAUAUUUUCUGAUUUUUGAUUUCUCUGAAUCAAUCAUCCAAUUUUAAUCAAUAGUCAAGAGCUAUGAAUCAACGUUUGAGAAAACAUCUUUACUGAUGAUUUAAAUCAACAUAUAGCCUGACAAUUUAAAUAUCAACAUAAAGCCUAAUAACUAGCUUACAACGAGUAACACAAAAUGAAAGAUACUUGGAAGACACAAGGAAAAUAACAAGAAGUUAACAGAGAAACUAACCAUGUUUUUAGAAACUUCCCAGGGAGCACCAAUUAUAACCUCAUCAACGUAGCGACAAGCUAAAACACUUAAACUUCUUUCGUGAAGAUUCAUGAUAGGGCGAUGAGCUCCUCUUUAGCACUGCAGAGCCAUGUGAUUAAGUUUUCCAUAACACAUGAUAAAGGUCAGAAACUUCGCUCAAUUUUUCUUAGUAUAAAAAACGACUAUAGAAUCAGGGCAAAAGUCUAACAAAAUGAAGGAUAUAGAAGGAUUUUUAAACCUGACUGUUUGAUCAUUGUGUAUCCCAACAAGAAGAAAAUCUCCAAGCCCCCGAGCAAUCCUCAAAAUAUACAACACAAGAUAAUUGGCAAGAAAUACAAAAAUAAGUGUAAAAUAACAGAGAUAAAGAUAAAUUUAAAAAAGAAAAAGACAUGAUACAACUUAACCCAUAAUAAAAUAUGCAGUUAUGACACCAUCAAUUCUGAUAAGGAACGUUUGGAUUAAUUAAUUCCGCAUAUGCAUACACACUGGUCAAUAUUUUCUAACCAUCUACCCCACAUGUUUUUAGUUGAUUAAACUAGGAAUUUUUCACAUUCCUUUUUACGAUAUGCAGUUCGUUUUGACUAUAUAAAUUAAUAUAUUUAUGACAUUAAUUAUUAUUUGAUUUUUAUUACCGUUUAUUUAAUCAAUAGAUUAUUUAGAAUACAACGAUCGAUCGACCUAAUGAUGAUGACGCUAGGGCCACUUACCUCCAUAAACUUUCCCUUCUAAAUAAAAUUAAUUAACACACACAACACACACACACAAAAUCCCAUAUGGACUACAAAGUAAUCGAAUUUUCUAUUCCCAAACAUAUUCUAGUGACCCUCUAAUCCUAAUCCUAAUCCUAAUCCUAAUCCAGGUUAAAUUUUGUUUUUAUUCAUGGUGGAUGGUUACCAAAUACCACCUGCAAUUAAAAUGCACGCGUCUUAUACUGGAUGUGAGUUUCCUUUUAAAGUGACAUUUUAUAACUUUUUUUUUUCUUAUUUUAUAUGAAGAUUUUUCUAUGAUUUUGUAUGAAAUUUUACAACCCUGAAAAUAAUAAUCUUGUGAACCCUUGGAUUUAAGUCACCAUUGGUUUAAUUUAGUAUUAUAUAUAAUAACUACUUAAUAAUAAUUACUAUGUAAUAUUGAAGUUGCUGAGUUAUUUGCAGGUUCAUAGAUAUAAUUUUAUUUUUAAGUAAUUAAAAAAUGUUUUCUAAAUCACUAAAAAUAAAAACAUUAAAUAAGCUUACACACACGCAUGUUAAUGUGUACAUGAUAAAUAUGAAUUAGAAAAUCUUCAACAACACAUGCAUGUUGAUAGAAUAGUGAUCCCUUUUAUCAUGUAUAAUUGUAACAGUAUAAUUUUAAAUACUUGAUUUUACUCAUUGGCAUUACCCCAAUCUUUACUAAUCUAGCAAGUCUUUGUGAAGAAGCGAGACAAGAUGAAAAAUAUAGAAGUUUAGAUAAACUAUAUUGUUCGUUGUUAUUAUUUAACCUUAAAUAAAAACUUUUUUGGAUAUCAUUUUGAUUAAAUUUUUAAUUAUUAAAAUUAAAAUAUCAUCCUAACUAAAUUCCAAUUUUAUCAAUCAUUGAUCAAAUCUAAUUGUAUAUAUUUAUAUCGCAAGUGAUACAGUAAUUUUUAUAACUGCUAUACAGGGAUGACAAUCAGCAUCGUCCGCAACGAGUUUACUGUUACCAAACCCACACCCGCACCCGUUGUGGGUUUUAAUUUUUUAGAAAAAUCAACUUGCUACGGGUUUUGAUAAUUACCAAACCUGCAAUGGUACCCAGAGGAUUCUCACAUUUAAAAUCACAAAUGUACAAUAUGUAAAUUUUAUAUUAAUAACCUGAAAUUCCACAAUUCUAAAUUUAAUCAAUGUAAAUAGAAAAUUAAAAUUUCAACAUUAAUUCAACAUAAACUCUCAAAUUUAAGUAUGAAAUAUAUAAAUCCAUUAAAAAAAACCACAAAUGUAAUGAAAAAUUCAUGGGUUUGCGGCUGCGGAUCACGGGUGAAAGGGAAAUGGGUGUGCGGCUGUUGCUCACAGGUGAAAGGGAAAUAGUUUGGAAGGCUAGGCUUUGCGGCUGCCGCUUAUAAGUGAAAAUGAAAUAGUUUGGGUUUCCUUUAGGUUGGGUUAUGAGUUACAACUUACACACACCACACAUGACAUGUUUACACUUUACAUUUAUUUAAUUUAUAUAUUUUUAGAUUUAAUUAUUUUUUAUUUAAAAUUACAUUGAAAAUAUUUGAGAAAAAAAAACCGCGGGUUUGGCGGAUAUCCCUGCGGCUAUCCAUCGGAUAUUUAGCUAAUACCAAACUCAGCCGCAACGUAAUGUGGGGUUCAAUUUUUAAUACUAAACUCGCCCACAACCUAUAAAAUUACCCACAACGGGCGAAUUUUGACAGGUGAAUUUAGACAAAUUUACGGGUGCCAUUGCAUCCCUACUGUAGUAUUAAAAAAUGACCCCUUAUAUAUAGAAAUAUAUCCUAGUACGGGCUACAGACAGUGACCUAAUUAGAGGAGUGCUUAUAUUUUAAUUUCAUGGAGAAAAUGAUACCACGUAGAUUAACCAAAUCAAAAAAAUUCAACUCGGUGGUUAGACGAGUUAGUGCUUUGAUGACUCAAAACCGAGGGCACUAAGCCAAGUUGGACGAUUAAUUAACAAUUAAAUCAAUAUUUUAGAGGCACUAAUACUCGUUUCCACAUGGUUAAUGUUGGAAAAAAAGACCUUGGGUGUGAUUGACCAUCUGUCAUUCAAACCCUUAUCUCGCUUGUUUUCAUUCAUAAGAUUUCACGUAGAGGAAUCAAACAUGACUACAACUGUUAUCGCCUUCAUGCUUAUGGAGGGUAUCAUUGAAUUCUUCGAGUAGCGACAAGCAGCUAAAAAAACAACCGAUUAAUAAGCUUUUACGCAUUCAACUAAAAAGCCCACAUGAAAAUAUUAGGCACAUAGUGGGUACUAGGUCUCCCGCCGCUAGCUUUGAAUUAAAUUCCCCUUUUGCGAGCAAGUUGAGAGCUAAAUUUUCAUCGUCACGACAAAUUAUUGGCCACAUGAUGCAAGGUCUAAGAAGCUUCUAUAUAUGACCAUAAAAUCUUCUUACAAUUUAUUAAUUAAGACAAUAACACUUUUAUUCUCUCUAUUACUUCUAUCAAAGAAAUUAAAAUUUUAAAUUUCAAAAGGAUCCCCAACCUUAAAAUAUAUUAUGUAUAAUAUCAAGGGUUUCAAAAUGUGUAUAAAUUAAUUUAAAAAAAAAAAAAUAGAGGUUUUAUGCGGUAUAAAUUUUAAAAUUGGAUAAAAGAAUUUACUCCUAAAAUAAAUUUUUAUGAGUAAAAUUCACAUAAGUAAUUUGAGUUUAAUAGAUAUAAAGACUGAUUAAAUUCAACCAUUCAAUAUUAGUAUUAAUAGCACUAAAUCAUAAGAAGAUUAAUUCUUUCAAUUCAUCUAUCUAUUUAUUAGAGGAUUACACAUUACUCGCAAGAGUACUGAGCAAGAUUCGGUGGGUAAAGAAAAAUAAAAACCAUUGGCAAUUUGAAAUAUAAUACAUAUAAGACAUAAAGGUCCUGGCUACUGCCCUAUGCAUGUAGGUCGUGAUUCUUGUGACUUUAGAAGUCUACUUAUGAUGUUUGGUAGUGGCUACACACGGGGGAAUAAACGAAAAUGAUGAUUUUCCUUUUCCUUAAUUCCUAGACCGCCAACUUUUUUGCGUGCCCCAACACAACUUAUAUAAACUAAAAUCAUGUGUACGCAUAACAAGCAAAAGCAGGAGCAGCAUAAAAACUAGAUAACAACCCACUUCGCAAAAAGGAGGCGCGUCCCAUUAAUAAUCAAAUUAAUUGUACAUAUUAAGAUAAUUAUAACUCAUUUAUGUCGGUAUCUUAAAUACCAAUUCAUGGAUUGGUGGUGAUGAAUAAUUUAAAGAAAAAUUAAACCAGGUCACUGAUAGCUGCAUAAAGCUGGGGGCCUGGGGAAUUAAUUGUGUAAGCCACCAACGGAGACAUAACAUCCGAGACAAAGGAACUCUCGUUCCACGCACGUCUCUCUCUUUCUCUAUAUAUAUAUACAUGUAAAUAAGAUUAAAGUACUUGCUAUAGCUAUCUUAAUUUGGCUUUCAAGUCAUUAUUGGAGAUCAAUAUUCAUUCAAGAUUUAACGGCACAAGGCAACCAUGUCCAAAAUUUAUCCCAGUGAGAACAAACGCAAUGAAUUGAAACCGAAAGGAGAUGAUGAUUGCCGUUUACGCCGAGCAUGCUCACUGUGUGGAAGAGAUCAAGCAUGAGCUUCCAAGGCACUGAUGGGUUCACAGUGUUUGAUCAGCAAGGGAGAUUAGUUUUCCGUGUUGAUAAUACUCGCGGAAUCAUCCUUGUGCUGCUUCCGGUCUAGUGCUCAUGGACGGAGCUGGCAAUGCUCUGCUUUCUUUAAAACCCCAGGUAUAUAUACGUGUGUGUGUGUGUGUGUGUGUGUGUGUGUGUGUUGUGCAAAGGCUUUACAACACCGCACUUUAUGAAUCUCUGAUGAAACUUUUGUGCAUGGCUAUGGACAGAUACUGAGCAUGCAAAACCAGUGGAACGCGUACAGGGAAGAGGAUGGAUGUGGAAAGAGCAGUCCGAGGUGUAAAAUUUUCGAUGAGGAGCUCAUCGAUGGCGUUCUUCGGUGGCGGCAAGGAUAAGGCGGAGGUGUUCAUGGGGUCAGCAUCAGGACGAGGUAGACAACAAAGGGGGACGACGCCGGAUUUCAGGAUUGAGGGUUCUUUCAGGAAUCGAAACUGCAAGAUAAGUAAUGCGGAAGGACAAGUCGUGGCCAAGAUUGCGAGGAAGAGAGUCAUGAACUCUACCGUAAUGCUAAGCGACGACGUUUUUAGCUUAGUUAUACAACCUGGUUAUAGCAGUGAGCUUAUUAUGGCUUUUGUAAUUGUACUGGAUCGCAUCUCCACCAAGCCGUAUACUCCUGCUUUGUGUUCUUGAUGACUUUGUACUUUUUUCUUCUUUUUGUGUACAAAAAGCCCACGUAAAUAAUUCAUACAAGUUUUGGAUUUUGCUUCCUUGGCCGUGGCCAAUGGGAAGAAGAGAUAGCUGGACAGGAGUCAUCAAAAGAUUUUGUUCACAAGCAUGCAAUAUUGCGCUUGAAUUGAUGACACGAAUUGUUCAUCUUGUAAAAUAAAUAAGAAAUCAUAUAUUUAAAUUCGAUCAGUAGUCCGGAAUCAAGGAAGAAAUCAUCUGAAUUAAAAAAUGACAGAUUUUCCGUUAUUUUUUUAAAUUUUUGCAUUGCAAUAAUUUUCCUAAUUUCCAAGCUAAUUAAGGGAGUCAAAAUUCGAUUGGCUGAAUAUAGGUGGAGGAAAGAUUAGUUUUGUUCAUAUAUAUGUAAUCCAGGAAUAAUAAUAUCAGAAUUUUUAAAAUAUUUGCCUUUCCAUUGCUUGUGCUCUAUUCAUUAGUGUUAAAUUGUGGAAUUGACAAAAGACAUCUACGCAUUAAGAAUGUGGUCUAGCUACUAAUAUUUCUUUAGCGGCUGGUUAGAAGAUGAAGUGUUAAGAUAGUCGUAUACAAGUCUAUCGCACAGUCAAUGUCCUUCGUCACAGAGGAUGAACAGUAGGUUGGCGAAUCAGAUGGAAAAGCCCAUGUGUUUUUUUUUUUAGAUAAUUCCUUUAUCUGAAUCCUAAACAAAAGUGCUCUUCUCAAUCUCAGCUGAAGAGGAAAUGAGAUCAAAUUGCCAGAUAAAUGCUAAAUCUGUCGUGUUGAAAACGUUAUGUGUCAUUACAUGAAUGCUUGCCAACAAGCAUAUAAACCGGCUCAACUCAACUCUAUCCUAAACUUUUAAUUAUCACCUUGGAACAAAAUUCCAAGAAUCCGGCUCUACAAAAUACAAGUACAGAAUCGCAUUGUAAGACUAACUCAGCAAUUGUAUGAUCUUGAGACUGUUCGUUGCACAAACGCCAACCCUAUUCAGUUAUCCAUAUUGCCAAUACAACAAAAAUCCGUUCUACUUGCAAGUGAUAACUACAGAAAGAAUGAGUAUGCACCCAAUGACCGGCCACGUAUGUGCACCAGAUGAUAUAUCAUCAGUCAAUCACCAGACACAAAAGUCUUGCCCUCAUAGUACCUUUUCUCGCUUGCAUUCUUUUUCUCAUUUCGUUUCUGCAGAAGAAAGAAACACAUUUUCAUUUCUCCGUGGAUUAAACAGAAAAAAACACCAACACAGCAAACAAACAAACAUUAAGCAUUUAAUGGUCAUAGCACCAAACUGCUCAAUGGACGCGUUAGAACAAGCCCAUAACUCCCAUACUAUAAUUUCGAGAAGACAAACCUAUUACGCAUACAACAGCUUUAAACAGGUUGAUUCUCCCAUCUUCAUACAUAUGUUACACUGACUUGCCAACUACUAGAACAACCAUCACAUGCUCCCAAGGUCGGAAGAGCAGUGAAUAGGUCUUUUUUCAGGCACAUAUUAAAAGGCAAGUUUUGCAGAGGGAACUCUUUUCUUUCAGCCAAUAGUCAAGUGGCUCUUUCUUAAAACAUGUGGUAAAAACAUGCUAAGUUGAUCAAGAGCAUCAAAUAACAAGGUUUUGAAGGUAGGUGAACCUGAUAUGCCUCAUGAUUUGAUACAAUCCUCCUAAUUAUCGUGGCAGUAGUAAUAUCGAGUGGACUUUCCAGAACUUUGAAGAUACCCACGCUAAUUGGAAUAGCGUAUGGAUUGCCAUCAUCCUAUAUAACAAAAUAAUCUGUCAGCGAAAAGGUGUAUCUUGGCACCACAAUAAUCAGUGGUCAACUCUUUGUAACCACAUGCAACUAGAAACUUCUACAAAAUUUACCUUCUGAAAAUCAUCGUUCUCAGCUACAGUUCCGUGGACAACUAAUGAUUAAUAAGACCCAUGUCAUGACUUUGACCAGGCAUACUUGAACCAAAGAAGAAGGAAAAUUCUAAGACAUAAUCUAAUUCGAAAAAUGAGCUAGGAAAGUCCACAAGAGUCAAGAUCCUAGAAUUCAACUGAAUAGUCAAUUCUUUGCUUCUUUCCUUCAAGAUAUCUAAUAUUCUUCUCUCCGAGCCUACAGCGAAAAACAUGUUGUUGGAAAAUUUGUUCUUUAAAAGUAUACGUGUUUAUUUAAUUGUAAUAAAUAAUUUUUUUGAUUAAUAAAAUAAAUAAGAAUUUUUCUUUAAAUAUCUUAAUUGCAUUAAUAUUUUGAGUAAAAUCAAUUUAAUCAUAUUAUAUGUAUUUAUGUGAUCAAUAUGUGGAUUCACAAAAGACAUAAAUACAAGUUAUAUUAUGAUUAAAUAAAUUAAGUUUUGCAGUUGAUAAAUAAAGUACUCAAGUUUUGCAGUUGAUAAAUAAAGUUGAGUACUUUAUAUAGGUAUAGACUGUAAUAAAUUCAUUGAAUGAUUUGUCUUAAUCAUGUAUGAAUUUAUUGAUGUAGUCGUUGAGCACUUUAUUUAGGUAUAGUCUGUAAUAAAUUCAUUAAAUGAUUUGUCUUAAUCAUGUAUGAAUUUAUUGAUGUAGUACAACUAUAUUGAACAGGAUCACAAAUGAGAUUUAAUUAACUUUGUAAUAACUGUCAGACUUAUUAAAUCUCAUAGGCAUUGAUUUUACUAUACUCUUAAUCUUGAGUUAGAUAUAAUUUCAUGAUUGUAAUUGUUAUUCCAUUUGAGUUACCAAUGGGCACGACACACACUUGUAGUCAAGAUUACUCGGUAUCUUGGUGGGAGCAAUUAUGAAUAUUGGAAUUAUAGAUUAGCAAUAUAGAAUUUGUACAACACAUCUCUUGAUGAGUUUUCGGCACUUGAUCAUAAAAUUCUUUGGCCAGAGUUUGUCAACAUAUUUAAUAUGUUGAAAAUGAUAAUUAGAGAAAACCAAUAAGUAUUAAGGAACAAGAUGUAAUUAAAUUAAUUGAACAAUUAAGAUAUCAAUUUAAUUAACGAUGUGGUACAAAUGAUUGUACAGUAAAGAAAUCAAUGUGGCAUGGGUCAAAUUAUUAUUCGAGAACACUAUCCUGAAUAACAUACAAUUAUGAAGGUCAAUUCAAAUCUUUUAGAGGAGUAGAUUUUGAAUUAAAUAAUUGGGUUAGUUUAAUUAUCGGCAUAAUUAUUGUACCCACUAUUGUAUGUACUCAAAUGAUCUCCGGGUUAACUCAUUUAAUUGACUGCGUCGCUACUGGAUUAAUAAGUAAGAUAACUAGUUGUUUGGGUUAAAGCCUAAAUAUAUUAUUUAGUGGGAGACUCCAUAAAAUAUGCUUGUGUGUAAGGGUCUUAUGUUAUUUUACAAGGUGGACCCUUAUAACAAGAAGAAGUAACGUUAUUUAUGGUUUUAUUAUUUUUUAAUUUAAAUCAAAUAUGAUUUAAUAGAAUUAAUAAAUUAAUAAAUAUGAAGCCUAGGGUUUCCAUCAAAUAGAGAUAUAAAAAGGAUAUUUUCUCAACAAGAAAAGGUGAAGCCACAUUAUACAGAUUAGAAAAAAAAAAGAUUUUUCUCUAAUUUUGAGAGAAAUAUUUUCUCCUACUAGUUACUUUUUAGUGGUGAUAAAGGCGCCUACACGUCAAGUGCAGAUCAAACGUGAGUCAUAACUUGGAAGAUCAUUGGUGACAGAUCGUGAUCUAACCGGAGUAGUGGUGACAGAUCGUGAUCUAACAGUCUAGAUUACUUUAGCGAAAAAAGUAAAGUCGAAUUGUCAAUGUAUGAUUUUUUAGAUUUUGAAUUCUUAUGUAUUGUAUGAGAUCGAUCUAAAAGUUUUUAUAAAAAUUAAAAAACUGAUUUUUCUCCCACACGUGCAAUGUGUAUAUACAAACUCUCUUGACCAUUUGAAGCUAAGGGGAAAAAAAAAGAGAGAUCAAGUAAUUUUAAUUUUUAGAAAAAAAGAGUUCCCACAAGAUGGAUGUGGGAAUAACCGUCCCACACAAAGAAAAAGACCCCGGUGGGGAUGCCAUCUAGCACAACCACAUCACUGACAGCUAGCUAGUGCUUCCUAAAAAUUAUUAGUAGCAUCCACCAUUUCUAACUUCCAAACAUGCAUCACUCAGAGAAACUCAGACUCCAGCACCGAUUCCUUCAUGGCCAAUGCAUCUUGCACUCUUAUGCAAAGCUAACACAAGUAUUUUAGAUAACCCAGAAAUGAGUAAACUAGAUAUCACCAGAUGUAUAUAUAUUAACUAAUAAUUUCAGGCGUAACUACACUAGUACUAUUAAUAAUAUCUUUCUGAUUUUUGAUUUCUCUGAAUCAAUCAUCCAAUUUUAAUCAAUAGUCAAGAGCUAUGAAUCAACGUUUGAGAAAACAUCUUUACUGAUGAUUUAAAUCAACAUAUAGCCUGACAAUUUAAAUAUCAACAUAAAGCUAAUAACUAGCUUACAACGAGUAACACAAAAUGAAAGAUACUUGGAAGACACAAGGAAAAUAACAAGAGUUAACAGAGAAACUAACCAUGUUUUUAGAAACUUCCCAGGGAGCACCAAUUAUAACCUCAUCAACGUAGCGACAAGCUAAAACACUUAAACUUCUUUCGUGAAGAUUCAUGAUAGGGCGAUGAGCUCCUCUUUUAGCACUGCAGAGCCAUGUGAUUAAGUUUCCAUAACACAUGAUAAAGGUCAGAAACUUCGCUCAAUUUUCUUAGUAUAAAACGACUAUAGAAUCAGGGCAAAGUCUAACAAAAUGAAGGAUAUAGAAGGAUUUUUAAACCUGACUGUUUGAUCAUUGUGUAUCCCAACAAGAAGAAAAUCUCCAAGCCCCCGAGCAAUCCUCAAAAUAUACAACACAAGAUAAUUGGCAAGAAAUACAAAAAUAAGUGUAAAAUAACAGAGAUAAAGAUAAAUUUAAAAAGAAAAAGACAUGAUACAACUUAACCCAUAAUAAAAUAUGCAGUUAUGACACCAUCAAUUCUGAUAAGGAACGUUUGGAUUAAUUAAUUCCGCAUAUGCAUACACACUGGUCAAUAUUUUCUAACCAUCUACCCCACAUGUUUUUAGUUGAUUAAACUAGGAAUUUUUCACAUUCCUUUUUACGAUAUGCAGUUCGUUUUGACUAUAUAAAUUAAUAUAUUUAUGACAUUAAUUAUUAUUUGAUUUUUAUUACCGUUUAUUUAAUCAAUAGAUUAUUUAGAAUACAACGAUCGAUCGACCUAAUGAUGAUGACGCUAGGGCCACUUACCUCCAUAAACUUUCCCCUUCUAAAUAAAAUUAAUUAACACACACACACACACACACAAAAUCCCAUAUGGACUACAAAGUAAUCGAAUUUUCUAUUCCCAAACAUAUUCUAGUGACCCUCUAAUCCUAAUCCUAAUCCUAAUCCUAAUCCAGGUUAAAUUUUGUUUUUAUUCAUGGUGGAUGGUUACCAAAACCACUGCAAUUAAAAUGCACGCGUCUUAUACUGGAUGUGAGUUUCCUUUUAAAGUGACAUUUUAUAACUUUUUUUUCUUAUUUUAUAUGAAGAUUUUUCUAUGAUUUUGUAUGAAAUUUUACCCAAAUAAUAAUCUUGUGAACCCUUGGAUUUAAGUCACCAUUGGUUUAAUUUAGUAUUAUAUAUAACUAACUACUUAAUAAUAAUUACUAUGUAAUAUUGAAGUUGCUGAGUUAUUUGCAGGUUCAUAGAUAUAAUUUUAUUUUUAAGUAAUUAAAAAAUGUUUUCUAAUCACUAAAAAAACAUUAACCAUAAGUGUACAUGAUAAAUAUGAAUUAGAAAAUCUUCAACAACACAUGCAUGUUGAUAGAAUAGUGAUCCCUUUUAUCAUGUAUAAUUGUAACAGUAUAAUUUUAAAUACUUGAUUUUACUCAUUGGCAUUACCCCAAUCUUUACUAAUCUAGCAAGUCUUUGUGAAGAAGCGAGACAAGAUGAAAAAUAUAGAAGUUUAGAUAAACUAUAUUUGUUCGUUGUUAUUAUUUAACCUUAAAUAAAAACUUUUUUGGAUAUCAUUUUGAUUAAAUUUUUAAUUAUUAAAAUUAAAAUAUCAUCCUAACUAAAUUCCAAUUUUAUCAAUCAUUGAUCAAAUCUAAUUGUAUAUAUUUAUAUCGCAAGUGAUACAGUAAUUUUAUAACUGCUAUACAGGGAUGACAUCAGCAUCGUCCGCAACGAGUUUACUGUUACCACCCACACCCGCACCCGUUGUGGGUUUUAAUUUUUUAGAAAAAUCAACUUGCUACGGGUUUUGAUAAUUACCAAACCUGCAAUGGUACCCAGAGGAUUCUCACAUUUAAAAUCACAAAUGUACAAUAUGUAAAUUUUAUAUUAAUAACCUGAAAUUCCACAAUUCUAAAUUUAUCAAUGUAAAUAGAAAAUUAAAAUUUCAACAUUAAUUCAACAUAAACUCUCAAAUUUAAGUAUGAAAUAUAUAAAUCCAUUAAAAAAAAACCACAAAUGUAAUGAAAAAUUCAUGGGUUUGCGGCUGCGGAUCACGGGUGAAAGGGAAAUGGGUGUGCGGCUGUUGCUCACAGGUGAAAGGGAAAUAGUUUGGAAGGCUAGGCUUUGCGGCUGCCGCUUAUAAGUGAAAAUGAAAUAGUUUGGGUUUCCUUUAGGUUGGGUUAUGAGUUACAACUUACACACACCACACAUGACAUGUUUACACUUUACAUUUAUUUAAUUUAUAUAUUUUUAGAUUUAAUUAUUUUUUUAUUUAAAAUUACAUUGAAAAUAUUUGAGAAAAAAAAACUGCGGGUUUGGCGGAUAUCCCUGCGGCUAUCCAUCGGAUAUUUAGCUAAUACCAAACUCAGCCGCAACGUAAUGUGGGGUUCAAUUUUUAAUACUAAACUCGCCCACAACCUAUAAAAUUACCCACAACGGGCGAAUUUUGACAGGUGAAUUUAGACAAAUUUACGGGUGCCAUUGCCAUCCCUACUGUAGUAUUAAAAAAUGACCCCUUAUAUAUAGAAAUAUAUCCUAGUACGGGCUACAGACAGUGACCUAAUUAGAGGAGUGCUUAUAUUUUAAUUUCAUGGAGAAAAUGAUACCACGUAGAUUAACCAAAUCAAAUAAAUUCAACUCGGUGGUUAGACGAGUUAGUGCUUUGAUGACUCAAAACCGAGGGCACUAAGCCAAGUUGGACGAUUAAUUAACAAUUAAAUCAAUAUUUUAGAGGCACUAAUACUCGUUUCCACAUGGUUAAUGUUGGAAAAAAAGACCUUGGGUGUGAUUGACCAUCUGUCAUUCAAACCCUUAUCUCGCUUGUUUUCAUUCAUAAGAUUUCACGUAGAGGAAUCAAACAUGACUACAACUGUUAUCGCUUCAUGCUUAUGGAGGGUAUCAUUGAAUUCUUCGAGUAGCGACAAGCAGCUAAAAAACAACCGAUUAAUAAGCUUUUACGCAUUCAACUAAAAAGCCCACAUGAAAUAUUAGGCACAUAGUGGGUACUAGGUCUCCCGCCGCUAGCUUUGAAUUAAAUUCCCCUUUUGCGAGCAAGUUGAGAGCUAAAUUUUCAUCGUCACGACAAAUUAUUGGUCACAUGAAUGCAAGGUCUAAGAAGCUUCUAUUGACCAUAAAAUCUUCUCACAAUUUAUUAAUUAAGAAAAUAACUGCAGUACUAUAUUGUUUGGUACAACAUUUUUAUUCUCUCUCUUCUACUUCUCUUGAAGAAAUUAAAAUUUUAAAUUUUAAAAGAAUCCCCAAACUUAAAAUAUAUUAUGUAUAAUAUCAAUGGGGGUUUCAAAAAUGUGUAUAAUUGGAUUGUAUAAAAAAAAAUAGAGAUUUUAGUGCGGUAUAGAAUUUUAAAAACUGGAUAUAAGAAUUUACUCCUAAAAUAAUUUUUAUGAAUAGAAUUCACAUAAGUAAUUUUGAGUUUAAUAGAUAUAAGACUGAUUAAAUCUCAACCAUUCAAUAUUAGUAUUAAUAGCACUUAAUCAUAAGAAGAUACUAAUUCUUUGAAUUCAUCUAUCUAUUUAUUAGAGGAUUACACAUUACUCGCAAGAGUACUAAGCAAGAUUCGGUGGGUAAAGAAAAAUAAAAACCAUUUGGCAAUUUGAAAUAUAUAUAUAGCAUAUAUAAGACAUAAAGGUCCUGGCCUACUGCCUAUGCAUGUAGGUCGUGAAUCUUGUGACUUUAGAAGUCUACUUAUGAUGUUUGGUAGUGGCUACACACGGGGGAAUAAACGAAAAUGAUGAUUUUCCUUUUCCUUAAUUCCUAGACCGCCAACUUUUUUGCGUGCCCCCAACACAACUUAUAUAAACUAAAAUCAUGUGUACGCAUAACAAGCAAAAGCAGGAGCAGCAUAAAAACUAGAUAACAACCCACUUCGCAAAAAGGAGGCGCGUCCCAUUAAUAAUCAAAUUAAUUGUACAUAUAUUAAGAUAAUUAUAACUCAUUUAUGUCGGUAUCUUAAAUACCAAUUCAUGGAUUGGUGGUGAUGAAUAAUUUAAAGAAAAAAUUAAACCAGGUCACUGAUAGCUGCAUAAAGCUGGGGGCCUGGGGAAUUAAUUGUGUAAGCCACCAACGGAGACAUAACAUCCGAGACAAAGGAACUCUCGUUCCACGCACGUCUCUCUCUUUCUCUAUAUAUAUAUACAUGUAAAUAAGAUUAAAGUACUUGCUAUAGCUAUCUUAAUUUGGCUUUCAAGUCAUUAUUGGAGAUCAAUAUUCAUUCAGAUUUAACGGCACAAGGCAACCAUGUCCAAAAUUUUAUCCCAGUGAGAACAAACGCAAUGAAUUGAAACCGAAAGGAGAUGAUGAUUGCCGUUUACGCCCGAGCAUGCUCACUGUGUGGAAGAGAUCAAGCAUGAGCUUCCAAGGCACUGAUGGGUUCACAGUGUUUGAUCAGCAAGGGAGAUUAGUUUUCCGUGUUGAUAAUUACUCGCGGAAUCAUCCUUGUGUUGCUGCUUCCGGUCUAGUGCUCAUGGACGGAGCUGGCAAUGCUCUGCUUUCUUUAAAACCCCAGGUAUAUAUACGUGUGUGUGUGUGUGUGUGUGUGUGUGUGUGUGUGUUGUGCAAAGGCUUUACAACACCGCACUUUAUGAAUCUCUGAUGAAACUUUUGUGCAUGGCUAUGGACAGAUACUGAGCAUGCAAAACCAGUGGAACGCGUACAGGGAAGAGGAUGGAUGUGGAAAGAGCAGUCCGAGGUGUAAAGUAUUUUCGAUGAGGAGCUCAUCGAUGGCGUUCUUCGGUGGCGGCAAGGAUAAGGCGGAGGUGUUCAUGGGGUCAGCAUCAGGACGAGGUAGACAACAAAGGGGGACGACGCCGGAUUUCAGGAUUGAGGUUCUUUCAGGAAUCGAAACUGCAAGAUAAGUAAUGCGGAAGGACAAGUCGUGGCCAAGAUUGCGAGGAAGAGAGUCAUGAACUCUACCGUAAUGCUAAGCGACGACGUUUUUAGCUUAGUUAUACAACCUGGUUAUAGCAGUGAGCUUAUUAUGGCUUUUGUAAUUGUACUGGAUCGCAUCUCCACCAAGCCGUAUACUCCUGCUUUGUGUUCUUGAUGACUUUGUACUUUUUUCUUCUUUUUGUGUACACAAAAAGCCCACGUAAAUAAUUCAUACAAGUUUUGGAUUUUGCUUCCUUGGCCGUGGCCAAUGGGAAGAAGAGAUAGCUGGACAGGAGUCAUCAAAAGAUUUUGUUCACAAGCAUGCAAUAUUGCGCUUGAAUUGAUGACACGAUUGUUCAUCUUGUAAAAUAAAUAAAGAAAUCAUAUAUUUAAAUUCGAUCAGUAGUCCGGAAUCAAGGGAAGAAAUCAUCUGAAUUAAAAAAUGACAGAUUUUCCGUUAUUAUUUUAAAUUUUUGCAUUGCAAUAAUUUUCCUAAUUUCCAAGCUAAUUAAGGGAGUCAAAAUUCGAUUGGCUGAAUAUAGGUGGAGGAAAGAUUAGUUUUGUUCAUAUAUAUGUAUAUCCAGGAAUAAUAAUAUCAGAAUUUUUAAAAUAUUUGCCUUUCCAUUGCUUGUGCUUCUAUUCAUUAGUGUUAAAUUGUGGAAUUGACAAAAGACAUCUACGCAUUAAGAAUGUGGUCUAGCUACUAAUAUUUCUUUAGCGGCUGGUUAGAAGAUGAAGUGUUAAGAUAGUCGUAUACAAGUCUAUCGCACAGUCAAUGUCCUUCGUCACAGAGGAUGAACAGUAGGUUGGCGAAUCAGAUGGAAAAGCCCAUGUGUUUUUUUUUUUAGAUAAUUCCUUUAUCUGAAUCCUAAACAAAAGUGCUCUUCUCAAUCUCAGCUGAAGAGGAAAUGAGAUCAAAUUGCCAGAUAAAUGCUAAAUCUGUCGUGUUGAAAACGUUAUGUGUCAUUACAUGAAUGCUUGCCAACAAGCAUAUAACCGGCUCAACUCAACUCUAUCCUAAACUUUUAAUUAUCACCUUGGAACAAAAUUCCAAGAAUCCGGCUCUACAAAAUACAAGUACAGAAUCGCAUUGUAAGACUAACUCAGCAAUUGUAUGAUCUUGAGACUGUUCGUUGCACAAACGCCAACCCUAUUCAGUUAUCCAUAUUGCCAAUACAACAAAAAUCCGUUCUACUUGCAAGUGAUAACUACAGAAAGAAUGAGUAUGCACCCAAUGACCGGCCACGUAUGUGCACCAGAUGAUAUAUCAUCAGUCAAUCACCAGACACAAAAGUCUUGCCCUCAUAGUACCUUUUCUCGCUUGCAUUCUUUUUCUCAUUUCGUUUCUGCAGAAGAAAGAAACACAUUUUCAUUUCUCCGUGGAUUAAACAGAAAAAAACACCAACACAGCAAACAAACAAACAUUAAGCAUUUAAUGGUCAUAGCACCAAACUGCUCAAUGGACGCGUUAGAACAAGCCCAUAACUCCCAUACUAUAAUUUCGAGAAGACAAACCUAUUACGCAUACAACAGCUUUAAACAGGUUGAUUCUCCCAUCUUCAUACAUAUGUUACACUGACUUGCCAACUACUAGAACAACCAUCACAUGCUCCCCAAGGUCGGAAGAGCAGUGAAUAGGUCUUUUUUCAGGCACAUAUUAAAAGGCAAGUUUUGCAGAGGGAACUCUUUUCUUUCAGCCAAUAGUCAAGUGGCUUCUUUCUUAAAACAUGUGGUAAAAACAUGCUAAGUUGAUCAAGAGCAUCAAAUAACAAGGUUUUUGAAGGUAGGUGAACCUGAUAUGCCUCAUGAUUUGAUACAAUCCUCCUAAUUAUCGUGGCAGUAGUAAUAUCGAGUGGACUUUCCAGAACUUUGAAGAUACCCACGCUAAUUGGAAUAGCGUAUGGAUUGCCAUCAUCCUAUAUAACAAAAAUAAUCUGUCAGCGAAAAGGUGUAUCUUGGCACCACAAUAAUCAGUGGUCAACUCUUUGUAACCACAUGCAACUAGAAACUUCUACAAAAUUUACCUUCUGAAAAUCAUCGUUCUCAGCUACAGUUCCGUGGACAACUAAUGAUAUGUUGAAUGUUGUAAUCUGCAGCCCAAAAAAAAUUUAAAAAAAAAAAUCAAGUUAUAUCAUUAAUAAAGACCCAUGUCAUGACUUUGACCAGGCAUACUUGAACCAAAGAAGAAGGAAAAUUCUAAGACAUAAUCUAAUUCGAAAAAUGAGCUAGGAAAGUCCACAAGAGUCAAGAUCCUAGAAUUCAACUGAAUAGUCAAUUCUUUGCUUCUUUCCUUCAAGAUAUCUAAUAUUCUUCUCUCCGAGCCUACAGCGAAAAACAUGUUGUUGGAAAAAUUUGUUCUUUAAAAGUAUACGUGUUUAUUUAAUUGUAAUAAAUAAUUUUUUUGAUUAAUAAAAUAAAUAAGAAUUUUCUUUAAAUAUCUUAAUUGCAUUAAUAUUUUGAGUAAAAUCAAUUUAAUCAUAUUAUAUGUAUUUAUGUGAUCAAUAUGUGGAUUCACAAAAGACAUAAAUACAAGUUAUAUUAUGAUUAAAUAAAUUAAGUUUUGCAGUUGAUAAAUAAAGUACUCAAGUUUUGCAGUUGAUAAAUAAAGUUGAGUACUUUAUAUAGGUAUAGACUGUAAUAAAUUCAUUGAAUGAUUUGUCUUAAUCAUGUAUGAAUUUAUUGAUGUAGUCGUUGAGCACUUUAUUUAGGUAUAGUCUGUAAUAAAUUCAUUAAAUGAUUUGUCUUAAUCAUGUAUGAAUUUAUUGAUGUAGUACAACUAUAUUGAACAGGAUCACAAAUGAGAUUUAAUUAACUUUGUAAUAACUGUCAGACUUAUUAAAUCUCAUAGGCAUUGAUUUUACUAUACUCUUAAUCUUGAGUUAGAUAUAAUUUCAUGAUUGUAAUUGUUAUUCCAUUUGAGUUACCAAUGGGCACGACACACACUUGUAGUCAAGAUUACUCGGUAUCUUGGUGGGAGCAAUUAUGAAUAUUGGAAUUAUAGAUUAGCAAUAUAGAAUUUGUACAACACAUCUCUUGAUGAGUUUUCGGCACUUGAUCAUAAAAUUCUUUGGCCAGAGUUUGUCAACAUAUUUAAUAUGUUGAAAAUGAUAAUUAGAGAAAACCAAUAAGUAUUAAGGAACAAGAUGUAAUUAAAUUAAUUGAACAAUUAAGAUAUCAAUUUAAUUAACGAUGUGGUACAAAUGAUUGUACAGUAAAGAAAUCAAUGUGGCAUGGGUCAAAUUAUUAUUCGAGAACACUAUCCUGAAUAACAUACAAUUAUGAAGGUCAAUUCAAAUCUUUUAGAGGAGUAGAUUUUGAAUUAAAUAAUUGGGUUAGUUUAAUUAUCGGCAUAAUUAUUGUACCCACUAUUGUAUGUACUCAAAUGAUCUCCGGGUUAACUCAUUUAAUUGACUGCGUCGCUACUGGAUUAAUAAGUAAGAUAACUAGUUGUUUGGGUUAAAGCCUAAAUAUAUUAUUUAGUGGGAGACUCCAUAAAAUAUGCUUGUGUGUAAGGGUCUUAUGUUAUUUUACAAGGUGGACCCUUAUAACAAGAAGAAGUAACGUUAUUUAUGGUUUUAUUAUUUUUUUAAUUUAAAUCAAAUGUGAUUUAAUAGAAUUAAUAAAUUAAUAAAUAUGAAGCCUAAGGUUUCCAUCAAAUAGAGAUAUAAAAAUGCUUAUUUUCUCAACAAGAAAAGGUGAAGCCACAUUAUACAGAUUAUAAAAAAAAAAAGAUUUUUCUCUAAUUUUGAGAGAAAUAUUUUCUCCUACUAGUUACUUUUUAGUGGUGAUAAAAGCGCCCACACGUCAAGUGCAGAUCAAACGUGAGUCAUAACUUGGAAAAUCAUUGGUGACAGAUCGUGAUCUAACCGGAGUAGUGGUGACAGAUCGUGAUCUAACGGUCUAGAUUACUUUAGCUAAAAAAGUAAAGUUGAAUUGUCAAUGUAUGAUUUUUUAGAUUUUGAAUUCUUAUGUAUUGUAUGAGAUCGAUCUUAAAAGUUUUUAUAAAAAUUAAAAAACUGAUUUUUCUCCCACACGUGCAAUGUGUAUAUACAAACUCUCUUGACCAUUUGAAGCUAAGGGGAAAAAAAAAAGAGAGAUCAAGUAAUUUUAAUUUUUAGAAAAAAAGAGUUCCCACAAGAUGGAUGUGGGAAUAACCGUCCCACACAAAGAAAAAGACCCCGGUGGGGAUGCCAUCUAGCACAACCACAUCACUGACAGCUAGCUAGUGCUUCCUAAAAAUUAUUAGUAGCAUCCACCAUUUCUAACUUCCAAACAUGCAUCACUCAGAGAAACUCAGACUCCAGCACCGAUUCCUUCAUGGCCAAUGCAUCUUGCACUCUUAUGCAAAGCUAACACAAGUAUUUUAGAUAACCCAGAAAUGAGUAAACUAGAUAUCACCAGAUGUAUAUAUAUUAACUAAUAAUUUCCAGGCGUAACUACACUAGUACUAUUAAUAAUAUCUUUCUGAUUUUUGAUUUCUCUGAAUCAAUCAUCCAAUUUUAAUCAAUAGUCAAGAGCUAUGAAUCAACGUUUGAGAAAACAUCUUUACUGAUGAUUUAAAUCAACAUAUAGCCUGACAAUUUAAAUAUCAACAUAAAGCCUAAUAACUAGCUUACAACGAGUAACACAAAAUGAAAGAUACUUGGAAGACACAAGGAAAAUAACAAGAGUUAACAGAGAAACUAACCAUGUUUUUAGAAACUUCCCAGGGAGCACCAAUUAUAACCUCAUCAACGUAGCGACAAGCUAAAACACUUAAACUUCUUUCGUGAAGAUUCAUGAUAGGGCGAUGAGCUCCUCUUUUAGCACUGCAGAGCCAUGUGAUUAAGUUUCCAUAACACAUGAUAAAGGUCAGAAACUUCGCUCAAUUUUCUUAGUAUAAAAAACGACUAUAGAAUCAGGGCAAAGUCUAACAAAAUGAAGGAUAUAGAAGGAUUUUUAAACCUGACUGUUUGAUCAUUGUGUAUCCCAACAAGAAGAAAAUCUCCAAGCCCCCGAGCAAUCCUCAAAAUAUACAACACAAGAUAAUUGGCAAGAAAUACAAAAAUAAGUGUAAAAUAACAGAGAUAAAGAUAAAUUUAAAAAGAAAAAGACAUGAUACAACUUAACCCAUAAUAAAAUAUGCAGUUAUGACACCAUCAAUUCUGAUAAGGAACGUUUGGAUUAAUUAAUUCCGCAUAUGCAUACACACUGGUCAAUAUUUUCUAACCAUCUACCCCACAUGUUUUUAGUUGAUUAAACUAGGAAUUUUUCACAUUCCUUUUUACGAUAUGCAGUUCGUUUUGACUAUAUAAAUUAAUAUAUUUAUGACAUUAAUUAUUAUUUGAUUUUUAUUACCGUUUAUUUAAUCAAUAGAUUAUUUAGAAUACAACGAUCGAUCGACCUAAUGAUGAUGACGCUAGGGCCACUUACCUCCAUAAACUUUCCCCUUCUAAAUAAAAUUAAUUAACACACACACACACACACACAAAAUCCCAUAUGGACUACAAAGUAAUCGAAUUUUCUAUUCCCAAACAUAUUCUAGUGACCCUCUAAUCCUAAUCCUAAUCCUAAUCCUAAUCCAGGUUAAAUUUUGUUUUUAUUCAUGGUGGAUGGUUACCAAAUACCACCUGCAAUUAAAAUGCACGCGUCUUAUACUGGAUGUGAGUUUCCUUUUAAAGUGACAUUUUAUAACUUUUUUUUUCUUAUUUUAUAUGAAGAUUUUUCUAUGAUUUUGUAUGAAAUUUUACAACCCUGAAAAUAAUAAUCUUGUGAACCCUUGGAUUUAAGUCACCAUUGGUUUAAUUUAGUAUUAUAUAUAACUAACUACUUAAUAAUAAUUACUAUGUAAUAUUGAAGUUGCUGAGUUAUUUGCAGGUUCAUAGAUAUAAUUUUAUUUUUAAGUAAUUAAAAAAUGUUUUCUAAAUCACUAAAAAAUAAAACAUUAAAUAAGCUUACACACACGCAUGUUAAUGUGUACAUGAUAAAUAUGAAUUAGAAAAUCUUCAACAACACAUGCAUGUUGAUAGAAUAGUGAUCCCUUUUAUCAUGUAUAAUUGUAACAGUAUAAUUUUAAAUACUUGAUUUUACUCAUUGGCAUUACCCCAAUCUUUACUAAUCUAGCAAGUCUUUGUGAAGAAGCGAGACAAGAUGAAAAAUAUAGAAGUUUAGAUAAACUAUAUUUGUUCGUUGUUAUUAUUUAACCUUAAAUAAAAACUUUUUUGGAUAUCAUUUUGAUUAAAUUUUUAAUUAUUAAAAUUAAAAUAUCAUCCUAACUAAAUUCCAAUUUUAUCAAUCAUUGAUCAAAUCUAAUUGUAUAUAUUUAUAUCGCAAGUGAUACAGUAAUUUUUAUAACUGCUAUACAGGGAUGACAAUCAGCAUCGUCCGCAACGAGUUUACUGUUACCAAACCCACACCCGCACCCGUUGUGGGUUUUAAUUUUUUAGAAAAAUCAACUUGCUACGGGUUUUGAUAAUUACCAAACCUGCAAUGGUACCCAGAGGAUUCUCACAUUUAAAAUCACAAAUGUACAAUAUGUAAAUUUUAUAUUAAUAACCUGAAAUUCCACAAUUCUAAAUUUAAUCAAUGUAAAUAGAAAAUUAAAAUUUCAACAUUAAUUCAACAUAAACUCUCAAAUUUAAGUAUGAAAUAUAUAAAUCCAUUAAAAAAAACCACAAAUGUAAUGAAAAAUUCAUGGGUUUGCGGCUGCGGAUCACGGGUGAAAGGGAAAUGGGUGUGCGGCUGUUGCUCACAGGUGAAAGGGAAAUAGUUUGGAAGGCUAGGCUUUGCGGCUGCCGCUUAUAAGUGAAAAUGAAAUAGUUUGGGUUUCCUUUAGGUUGGGUUAUGAGUUACAACUUACACACACCACACAUGACAUGUUUACACUUUACAUUUAUUUAAUUUAUAUAUUUUUAGAUUUAAUUAUUUUUUAUUUAAAAUUACAUUGAAAAUAUUUGAGAAAAAAAAAACCGCGGGUUUGGCGGAUAUCCCUGCGGCUAUCCAUCGGAUAUUUAGCUAAUACCAAACUCAGCCGCAACGUAAUGUGGGGUUCAAUUUUUAAUACUAAACUCGCCCACAACCUAUAAAAUUACCCACAACGGGCGAAUUUUGACAGGUGAAUUUAGACAAAUUUACGGGUGCCAUUGCCAUCCCUACUGUAGUAUUAAAAAAUGACCCCUUAUAUAUAGAAAUAUAUCCUAGUACGGGCUACAGACAGUGACCUAAUUAGAGGAGUGCUUAUAUUUUAAUUUCAUGGAGAAAAUGAUACCACGUAGAUUAACCAAAUCAAAUAAAAUUCAACUCGGUGGUUAGACGAGUUAGUGCUUUGAUGACUCAAAACCGAGGGCACUAAGCCAAGUUGGACGAUUAAUUAACAAUUAAAUCAAUAUUUUAGAGGCACUAAUACUCGUUUCCACAUGGUUAAUGUUGGAAAAAAAGACCUUGGGUGUGAUUGACCAUCUGUCAUUCAAACCCUUAUCUCGCUUGUUUUCAUUCAUAAGAUUUCACGUAGAGGAAUCAAACAUGACUACAACUGUUAUCGCCUUCAUGCUUAUGGAGGGUAUCAUUGAAUUCUUCGAGUAGCGACAAGCAGCUAAAAAACAACCGAUUAAUAAGCUUUUACGCAUUCAACUAAAAAGCCCACAUGAAAAUAUUAGGCACAUAGUGGGUACUAGGUCUCCCGCCGCUAGCUUUGAAUUAAAUUCCCCUUUUGCGAGCAAGUUGAGAGCUAAAUUUUCAUCGUCACGACAAAUUAUUGGCCACAUGCAUGCAAGGUCUAAGAAGCUUCUAUUAUAUCCUCUGACCAUAAAAUCUUCUUACAAUUUAUUAAUUAAGACAAUAACACUUUUAUUCUCUCCUAUUACUUCUAUCAAAGAAAUUAAAAUUUUAAAUUUCAAAAGGGAUCCCCAACCUUAAAAUAUAUUAUGUAUAAUAUCAAUAGGGUUUUCAAUAAUGUGUAUAAAUUGAAUUAUAUUAAAAAAAAAAAAAGAAAUAGAGGUUUUUAAUGCAGUAUAAAGUUUUACAAAUUGGAUAAAAGAAUUUACUCCUAAAAUAAAUUUUUAUGAGUAAAAUUCACAUAAGUAAUUUGAGCUUAGUAUAUAUAAAGACUGAUUAAAUUUGAACCAUUCAAUAUCAGUAUUAAUAGCACUAAAUCAUAAGAAGAUGCUAAUUCUUUCAAUUCAUCUAUCUAUUUAUUAGAGGAUUACACAUUACUCGCAAGAGUACUGAGCAAGAUUCGGUGGGUAAAGAAAAAUAAAAACCAUUGGGCAAUUUGAAAUAUAUAAAUUGCACAUAUAAGACAUAAAGGUCCUGGCCUACUGCCCUAUGCAUGUAGGUCGUGAUUCUUGUGACUUUAGAAGUCUACUUAUGAUGUUUGGUAGUGGCUACACACGGGGGAAUAAACGAAAAUGAUGAUUUUCCUUUUCCUUAAUUCCUAGACCGCCAACUUUUUUGUGUGCCCCCAACACAACUUAUAUAAACUAAAAUCAUGUGUACACAUAACAAGCAAAAGCAGGAGCAGCAUAAAAACUAGAUAACAACCCACUUCUUAAAAAGGAGGCGCGUCACAUUAAUAAUCAAAUUAAUUGUACAUCUUUUUUCCCCCCCUAAAAGUAUAGCCAUACAUAUAUUACGAUAAUUAUAACUCAUUUAUUUCUGUAUCUUAAAUACCAAUUCAUGCCAGGUCACUGAUUGCUGCAUAAAGCUGGGGGCCUGCGGAAUUAAUUGUGUAAGCCACCAACGGAGACAUAACAUCCGAGACAAAGGAACUCUCGUUCCACGCACGUCUCUCUCUUUCUCUAUAUAUAUAUAUAUACAUGUAAAUAAGAUUAAAGUACUUGCUAUAGCUAUCUUAAUUUGGCUUUCAAGUCAUUAUUGGAGAUCAAUAUUCAUUCAAGAUUAACGGCACAAGGCAACCAUGUCCAAAAUUUAUCCCAGUGAGAACAAACGCAAUGAAUUGAAACCGAAAGGAGAUGAUGAUUGCCGUUUACGCCCGAGCACGCUCACUGUGUGGAAGAGAUCAAGCAUGAGCUUCCAAGGCACCGAUGGGUUCACAGUGUUUGAUCAGCAAGGGAGAUUAGUUUUCCGUGUUGAGAAUUACUCGCGGAAUCAUCCUUGUGCUGCUUCCGGUCUAGUGCUCAUGGACGGGGCUGGCAAUGCUCUGCUUUCUUUAAAACCCCAGGUAAAUAUACGCGUCUCUAUAUAUAUAUAUAUAUAUUGUGCAAAGGCUUUACAACGCCGCACUUUAUGAAUCACUGAUGAAACUUUUGUGCAUGGCUAUGGACAGAUACUGAGCAUGCAGUACCAGUGGAACGCGUACAAGGAAGAGGAUGACUGUGGAAAGAGCAGUCCGAGGUGUAAACUAUUUUCGAUGCGGAGCUCAUCGAUGGCGUUUUUCAGUGGCGGCAAGGAUAAAGCGGAGGUGUUCAUGGGAUCAGCAUCAGGACGAGGUAGGGAACAAAGGGGGACGACGCCGGAUUUCAGGAUUGAGGGUUCUUUCAGGAAUCGAAACUGCAAGAUAAGUAAUGCGGAAGGACAAGUUGUGGCCAAGAUUGCGAGGAAGAGAGUCAUGAACUCCACCGUAAUGCUAAGCGACGACGUUUUUAGCUUAGUUAUACAACCUGGUUAUAGCAGUGAACUUAUUAUGGCUUUUGUAAUUGUACUGGAUCGCAUCUCCACCAAGCCGUAUACUCCUGCUUUGUGUUCUUGAUGACUUUGUACUUUUUUCUUCUUUUUGUGUACACAAAAAGCCCACGUAAAUAAUUCAUAC